CCUACGGGUGACAGCAGUGGGGAAUAUUGGGCAAUGGGCGCAAGCCUGAUCCAGCAACGCCGCGUGAAGGAAGACGGCUUUCGGGUUGUAAACUUCUAUUCACAGGGACGAAGCAAGUGACGGUACCUGAGGAAUAAGCCCCGGCUAACUACGUGCCAGCAGCCGCGGUAAUACGUAGGGGGCAAGCGUUAUCCGGAUUUACUGGGUGUAAAGGGCGAGUAGGCGGCAAGGCAAGUCAGAUGUGAAAGCCAUGGGCUCAACCUGAGGCUUGCAUAUGAAACUGUUUAUCUGGAGUACUGGAGAGGAAGGCGGAAUUCCUAGUGUAGCGGUGAAAUGCGUAGAUAUUAGGAAGAACACCAGUGGCGAAGGCGGUCUUCUGGACAGCAACUGACGCUGAGGCGCGAAAGCGUGGGGAGCAAACAGGAUUAGAUACCCUUGUAGUC
rnacentral:rRNA from 1 species